AUUGAACGCUGGCGGCAGGCCUAACACAUGCAAGUCGAGCGAGCGGCGGACGGGUGAGUAAUGUCUGGGAAACUGCCUGAUGGAGGGGGAUAACUACUGGAAACGGUAGCUAAUACCGCAUACCAUCAGAUGUGCCCAGAUGGGAUUCGCUAGUAGGUGGGGUAACGGCUAACCUAGGCGACGAUCCCUAUCUGGUCUGAGAGGAUGACCAGCAACACUGGAACUGAGACACGGUCCAGACUCAUACGGUAGGAAGCAGUGGGGAAUAGUGCAAAAUGGGCGCAAGCCUGAUGCAGCCAUGCCGCGUGUGUGAAGAAGGCCUUCGGGUUGUAAAGCACUUUCAGCGGGGAGGCGUUACCCGCAGAAGAAGCACCGGCUAACUCCGUGCCAGCAGCCGCGGUAAUUC
rnacentral:rRNA from 1 species